GCGACCUCAGCUCAGGCGGGGCUACCCGCUGAGUUUAAGCAUAUCAAUAAGCGGAGGAAAAGAAACUAACGAGGAUUCCCCUA
rnacentral:rRNA from 1 species